rnacentral:tRNA from 1 species
GAUCGAUUAGCUCAGUUGGCAGAGCUUCGGAUUCCAGACCCGAGGGUCAGGUGUUCAAGUCACCUAUCGAUCA